ensembl:lncRNA
AAAAAGAGUCCCCAAGGGGUAAAACUGCAAACUGGUGCAUAUAAUGCUAAAAGGUUGGAUAUAUAACUAGGAGAGAGACCAUGAAGUGACUUAAAAUUAAUUAGUAUAAGUUUAAAUUCUAUCUUAAAACAUACUGAAAGCCAUUGUAAAGAGGCUAAAACAGUAAUAAUAGAAAUAGAAGCGUGCAAAAUGAUCUAUGUGUCUUUAAAAGGCAAAAUAGUUUGUAUUUUGGAAAUAUUGAGUGCUGCUUAAAACUUAGAUUACUGUUGAAGCAGAUUCUGAGAUUCCUUACGACAGGCUUAUCGAGAUCUAAAGAGAACCAGCUGAUGUUAGAAUCUGUCUGGCUAUGUGCUGCAAUCCAAUAGUGAGAAUGUGUGUUUUGUUUGAAUUUAGCUGAAGGAACUUAUUUGACAUCCAUUAAGAGAACUCAGCAUACUGGGCUCUGAGGAUCUAACAGACAGACAGUUAAGAGGACCGGUUACUCUAUUAUUUAAGCACUUUUACUGCAUGUUUGCUGUUUUUCCAGGUGUUUGAUGGGAAGUUGAUCCGUUUCAUCUGUGUGUGUUCAGUGGACAAACAAGGCUAGAUUCUCCCAGUAAAGAAGAGCUACAUCUUCUGGGAAUUUCAGUGAGGUCUUAUUUUUCUACUCCACUGACCUGCUACUCAUCCUAUAAAGUCUGUAUUUUGGAUCCAUUGAGUCUUGUUCAGAGUUUGGAAGUCAUUUUGCGUUGUCUUUCUGGAGACAUAUGGAUCCUGCAGCUGUUUGAUGCUGCAGGUAUUCGAUGAACUCAAAACAGCUGGAAGCAACAGUCUAAACGUAAGCACAUGUUAAUGUUUUGUCAAAAAAAAGUGAAUUAUUUCUAUUAUUGUUGAAAAAGAUGUCAUUAAUCUGAGCUG